GUGGAAAUUCUGGGAGGCUGAUAUGAACCGAAUCAGUAGGAAACAGUCAACACUUUACGUUGUGCAAGAGAGGUUUGAAAGGAUAAACCAGCAUCCAAAUUCAGGGAGUCACUCAUUCUUCAUUGGAAUAACUGAAGUUCUUAAUACAAAUCUCUUGAUAGAACUAAGAGCAUCUCCAAUGUUAUGAUGUAAGGGGUUCCAGACAGAACGGGUCGGAAUGAUCCACGCUUCUCGAGCCGGUAUUCGGGUGAUCAAGCCCAUCAGAGAACCUGCACAAGAGUUCAACGGGGAACGCGGAGUCCCCUAGCGAACUCUCUGACGAGCAAGUUAGAGAGAAGUGGAGUGUAGAGAUGGAAUAGAGAUAGAAAAGCUUAACCUUCUACAUGUUUUCGACGUCUGCUUAUAUCCUUUGGUAAUCAUUGCAUUGUCUCUUUCGACUUGUCACCUUGGCCGAAAGUCUAUGCUGUAGCUUACCUUGUUCAGGAUGAGGGCGUGUUGUCCCGACGGAGAAGGGUUAUUGCAACAAAUACUGUGAGGGGGCCUCAUUAAUGGCGAUAUGCAGUGACAAUAACUUUGCAGAUCUUUGUCUACUGAUGUGGCUUGUCCUUUUCUUGCCAUGUGUCUUGAUGUCAUUGGUUCUAAUUGCUACAUGGGGCUUCGACAGUGCUGGGCUUCAGCGUUUGAGAUAUGUGUUGGGCCCUAAAUGGUGGGCUCUAAUCUUUAUGGGCAUACCCAUGUCAACAUUUAUAUUUUUAUGAGUAAAAUGAAGUAAAUGAUAAACAUUACAAUUGACAUAGUUAUAGUUUUAUGUAGAUAGUUGAUUCAAAGAGUUGUAAAUUAACAUAGUUGUCACCAACGAUGUGGAAUUUCAAAAGAAAUACA